AACGAACGCUGGCGGCAUGCCUAACACAUGCAAGUCGAACGAAGGCUUCGGCCUUAGUGGCGCACGGGUGCGUAACGCGUGGGGAUCUGCCCUUUGCUUCGGAAUAACAGUUAGAAAUGACUGCUAAUACCGGAUGAUGUCGUAAGACCAAAGAUUUAUCGGCAAAGGAUGAACCCGCGUAGGAUUAGCUAGUUGGUGGGGUAAAGGCCUACCAAGGCGACGAUCCUUAGCUGGUCUGGGAGGAUGAUCAGCCACACUGGGACUGAGACACGGCCCAGACUCCUACGGGAGGCAGCAGUGGGGAAUAUUGGACAAUGGGCGAAAGCCUGAUCCAGCAAUGCCGCGUGAGUGAUGAAGGCCUUCGGGUUGUAAAGCUCUUUUACCAGGGAUGAUAAUGACAGUACCUGGAGAAUAAGCUCCGGCUAACUCCGUGCCAGCCGCCGCAGUAAGAC
rnacentral:rRNA from 1 species